rnacentral:tRNA from 1 species
GGGGGCAUGGCGGAAUUGGUAGACGCAGCGCACUCAAAAUGCGCCGGCUUCGGCUUUGUCRGUUCGAGUCCGACUGCCCCCAUCA